rnacentral:rRNA from 1 species
UACGUAGGGUGCGAGCGUUGUCCGGAAUUAUUGGGCGUAAAGAGCUCGUAGGCGGUGUGUCGCGUCGGCCGUGAAAACCUGGGGCUUAACUCUGGGCGUGCGGUCGAUACGGGCAUCACUAGAGUUCGGCAGGGGAGACUGGAAUUCCUGGUGUAGCGGUGAAAUGCGCAGAUAUCAGGAGGAACACCGAUGGCGAAGGCAGGUCUCUGGGCAUUAACUGACGCUGGAGGAGCGAAAGCAUGGGGAGCGAACAGG